rnacentral:tRNA from 1 species
UGCCGGGUCGUCUAGUGGUAGGACACGUGGCUCUGGACCACGCUGCGAGGGUUCGAAUCCUUCCCCGGCAACCA